rnacentral:rRNA from 1 species
ACGAACGCUGGCGGCAUGCCUCACCCCUUCAAGUCGAACGAGACCUUCGGGUCUAGUGGCGCACGGGUGCGUAACGCGUGGGAACCUGCCCUUAGGUUCGGAAUAACUCCCCGAAAGGGGUGCUAAUACCGGAUAAUGUCUUCGGACCAAAGAUUUAUCGCCUUUGGAUGGGCCCGCGUUGGAUUAGCUAGUUGGUAGGGUAAAAGCCUACCAAGGCGACGAUCCAUAGCUGGUCUGAGAGGAUGAUCAGCCACACUGGGACUGAGACACGGCCCAGACUCCUACGGGAGGCAGCAGUGGGGAAUAUUGGACAAUGGGCGAAAGCCUGAUCCAGCAAUGCCGCGUGAGUGAUGAAGGCCUUAGGGUUGUAAAGCUCUUUUACCCGGGAUGAUAAUGACAGUACCGGGAGAAUAAGCUCCGGCUAACUCCGUG